AUCCAGCUGACGAGUCUCAAAUAGGACGAAACGCGAUUCCUACAU
rnacentral:hammerhead_ribozyme from 1 species